rnacentral:rRNA from 1 species
UACGUAGGUCCCGAGCGUUGUCCGGAUUUACUGGGUGUAAAGGGAGCGUAGACGGCCAGACAAGUUUGAAGUGAAAAUCCAGCGCUUAACGUUGGAAGUGCUUUGGAAACUGCCGGGCUAGAGUGCAGGAGGGGCUGGCGGAAUUCCUAGUGUAGCGGUGAAAUGCGUAGAUAUUAGGAGGAACACCAGUGGCGAAGGCGGCCUGCUGGACCGCGACUGACGUUGAGGCUCGAAAGCGUGGGGAGCAAACAGG